rnacentral:rRNA from 1 species
GCCGCGGUAAAACCAGCACCUCAAGUGGUCAGGAUGAUUAUUGGGCCUAAAGCAUCCGUAGCCGGCUCUGUAAGUUUUCGGUUAAAUCCAUGUGCUCAACGCAUGGGCUGCCGAAAAUACUGCAUAGCUAGGGAGUGGGAGAGGUAGACGGUACUCAGUAGGAAGGGGUAAAAUCCUUUGAUCUAUUGAUGACCACCUGUGGCGAAGGCGGUCUACCAGAACACGUUCGACGGUGAGGGAUGAAAGCUGGGGGAGCAAACCGGAUUAGAUACCCGGGUAGUCCCAGCUGUAAACGAUGCAGACUCGAUGAUGCAUUGGCAUAAUAGCCAGUGCAGUGUCGCAGGGAAGCCGUUAAGUCUGCCGCCUGGGAAGUACGUACGCAAGUAUGAAACUUAAAGGAAUUGGCGGGGGAGCACGGUCAUACUUGGUUUCCUGA